AUAAUCCCAGCUCCGCCUGAUCACGUAGCCCCAGUGUGUUCUUGGUGUUUCCAGGGAGAGAGAAGAAGGCUCUUCUAAUGCAUGCCAGACUUGCCCACCAUGGCUCUCUGUUCCUAGGAGUGUGACAUCU
ensembl:snoRNA